AUUGAACGCUGGCGGCAGGCCUAAAACAUGCAAGUCGAACGAGUGGCGGACGGGUGAGUAAUGUCUGGGAAACUGGCUGAUGGAGGGGGAUAACUACUGGAAACGGUAGCUAAUACCGCAUACCAUCGGAUGUGCCCAGAUGGGAUUAGCUAGUAGGUGGGGUAACGGCUCACCUAGGCGACGAUCCCUAGCUGGUCUGAGAGGAUGACCGGCCACACGGGAACGGAGACACGGUCCAGACUCCUACGGGAGGCAGCAGUGGGGAAUAUUGGACAAUGGGCGCAAGCCUGAUGGAGCAAUGCCGCGUGAGUGAAGAAGGCCUUCGGGUUGUAAAGUACUUUCAGCAGGGAGGCGUUACCCGCAGAAGAAGCACCGGCUAACUCCGUGCCAGCAGCCGCGGUAAUAC
rnacentral:rRNA from 1 species